rnacentral:miRNA from 1 species
UAUCACAGCCCCGCUUGGAACGC